UGAACGCGAAGAACCUUACCAAAUCUUGACAUCCUCUGACCCCUCUAGAGAUAGAGUUUCUCCCCUUCGGGGGACAGAGUGACAGGUGGUGCAUGGUUGUCGUCAGCUCGUGUCGUGAGAUGUUGGGUUAAGUCCCGCAACGAGCGCAACCCUUAAGCUUAGUUGCCAUCAUUAAGUUGGGCACUCUAAGUUGACUGCCGGUGACAAACCGGAGGAAGGUGGGGAUGACGUCAAAUCAUCAUGCCCCUUAUGAUUUGGGCUACACACGUGCUACAAUGGACAAUACAAAGGGUAGCGAAACCGCGAGGUCAAGCAAAUCCCAUAAAGUUGUUCUCAGUUCGGAUUGUAGUCUGCAACUCGACUAUAUGAAGCUGGAAUCGCGUAGUAAUCGUAGAUCAGCAUGCUACGGUGAAUACGUUCCCGGGUCUUGUACACACGCAAAA
rnacentral:rRNA from 1 species